GCAGACUCACUCUGCACUCGGCUGCAGUUCCAGGCGGGUGUUUUUUUUUGUCUGCCACAGAAACAUUCCAGGGUCCUGUGACUACCUUGACAUGUCAGAGGUGAUGCAGCUGCCUGGGGACAUGGUU